rnacentral:lncRNA from 1 species
AUUUCGUUUUCCAGAUGUUUCCUCAUCACCUGGGGUAAGGCCCCUGACAUGGUGGCCAGAGCCAGGGAGAAUCCAGAGAAGAUUUCUCUGACACCCAGCACAAAGGUGCCCAGGAGGACCCCAUUGGCAGCCCUCUCUGUGGUUCCUCCCAGACCCCUGCCUGCUGCCACUGAAAGAGGCUGAACCCCGCUCCAACUGGCGGCUGCAUAGUCGGAAGCUCAGCAUGUUGACAG